AUUGAACGCUGGCGGCAGGCCUAACACAUGCAAGUCGAACGAGAGGCGGACGGGUGAGAAAGGACUGGGAAACUGCCUGAUGGAGGGGGAUAACUAAUGGAAACGGUAGCUGAUACCGCAUACCAUCAGAGGUGCCCAGAUGGGAAUAGCUUGUUGGUGGGGUAACGGCGCACCAAGGCGACGAUCCCUAGCUGGUUUGAGAGGAUGCCCAGCCACACUGGAACUGAGACACGGUCCAGACUCCUACGGGAGGCAGCAGUGGGGAAUAUUGCACAAUGGGCGACAGCCUGAUGCAGCCAGGCCGAGUGUAUGAAGAAGGCCUUCGGGUUGUAAAGUACUUUCAGCGGGGAGGCGUUACCCGCAGAAGAAGCACCGGCUAACUCCGUGCCAGCCGCCGCGGUAAUUC
rnacentral:rRNA from 1 species